GAUGAAGAACGUAGCGAAAUGCGAUAAGUAGUGUGAAUUGCAGACUUUAGUGAAUCAUCGAAUCUUUGAACGCACAUUGCGCCCGCCAGUAUUCUGGCGGGCAUGCCUGUCUGAGCGUCAUUUCAACCCUCAAGCAACUUCUGCUUGGUGUUGGGGAUCGGCCGUCAAACGCCGCCCCCGAAAUCUAUUGGCGAUCUCGCUGUAGCUUCCUAUGCGUAGUAGUAACAUCUCGCAUCUGGAGAGCGGCGCGGUCAUGCCGUAAAACACCCAACUUCUCAGGUUGACCUCAGAUCAGGUAGGAAUACCCGCUGAACUUAAGCAUAUCAAUAAGCGGAGGA
rnacentral:misc_RNA from 1 species